rnacentral:rRNA from 1 species
AUUGAACGCUGGCGGCAUGCCUUACACAUGCAAGUCGAACGGCAGCACGGGUGCUUGCACCUGGUGGCGAGUGGCGAACGGGUGAGUAAUAUAUCGGAACGUACCUUAUCGUGGGGGAUAACGCAGCGAAAGCUGUGCUAAUACCGCAUAAGCCCUAAGGGGGAAAGCAGGGGACCGUAAGGCCUUGCGCGAUUAGAGCGGCCGAUACCUGAUUAGCUAGUUGGUGAGGUAAAGGCUCACCAAGGCAACGAGCAGUAGCUGGUCUUAGAGGCAGUACAGACCCACUGGGAGUGAGACACGGCCCAGACUCCUACGGGAAGCCGCAGUGGGGAAUUUUGGACAAUGGGGGCAACCCUGAUCCAGCAAUGCCGCGUGAGUGAAGAAGGCCUUCGGGUUGUAAAGCUCUUUUGUCAGGGAAGAAACAGCAGCUCUAAUACAGUAUGCGAAUGACGGUACCUGAAGAAUAAGCACCGGCUAACUACGUGCCAGCCGCCGCAGUAA